CUGGAGGUAUCAGAAGUGCGAAUGCUGACAUAAGUAACGAUAAAGCGGGUGAAAAGCCCGCUCGCCGGAAGACCAAGGGUUCCUGUCCAACGUUAAUCGGGGCAGGGUGAGUCGACCCCUAAGGCGAGGCCGAAAGGCGUAGUCGAUGGGAAACAGGUUAAUAUUCCUGUACUUGGUGUUACUGCGAAGGGGGGACGGAGAAGGCUAUGUUGGCCGGGCGACGGUUGUCCCGGUUUAAGCGUGUAGGCUGGUUUUCCAGGCAAAUCCGGAAAAUCAAGGCUGAGGCGUGAUGACGAGGCACUACGGUGCUGAAGCAACAAAUGCCCUGCUUCCAGGAAAAGCCUCUAAGCAUCAGGUAACAUCAAAUCGUACCCCAAACCGACACAGGUGGUCAGGUAGAGAAUACCAAGGCGCUUGAGAGAACUCGGGUGAAGGAACUAGGCAAAAUGGUGCCGUAACUUCGGGAGAAGGCACGCUGAUAUGUAGGUGAAGUCCCUCGCGGAUGGAGCUGAAAUCAGUCGAAGAUACCAGCUGGCUGCAACUGUUUAUUAAAAACACAGCACUGUGCAAACACGAAAGUGGACGUAUACGGUGUG
rnacentral:rRNA from 1 species